CGGCGCGCCCGGGCGGCGCUCCACGAAGGCGCCCCGAGCCCCGCGCCCGCGCCCGCCGGAGCGCUCACCGUCCCGAGGUCCGGCCGCCGCGCCGCGCUCCGCGCUCUGGCGGCCGCUCGCAGCCGCCUACCGCUCCAUUCAUCCGCGUCCGCGCCCCCGCCCGGCCGCCCGGCGCUGGCCCCACCUACCCGGGCCAAUGGCCGCGCCGCGCCCCGGGCCCGCCCCCAGCGGUGGGGAGCGGCGGGGCGGGGCGGGGCGGGGCGUGCCUCUCCGGCCCCCGGGUCUCCGUCGCCCCCGGCCGCUCACCGACCCCUCCCCAACCGCGACAGCCCGGCCUCCGCCGCCGCGGGUCGGAAACCUGGAGCCCAGCGGUGAAGUCCCCGGGCCGGGCGUGACUCAGACCUGAACCCGCGCGUGUGGGACCCGGGCGGUGGUGGAGGCCGUGGUGGAGGAAGUGAAGUUUCCCGCCCAACCCUUCGGAAAGACCGCCGGGGGCCGAGGGAGUUGGGGGGGGUGCCGCUCGGGGGGGCUCGCCCCGGCGGCGCAUGGUGAGGCCAGCACCCUUGCCCGGCGAAUCCAGCGUUCCCUGCCUGCAGCCUUCUCGAGGGCCGCCCCCAGGGUCCCCGGUUUUGCCUUUGUCCCCACGCCUGCAAGCUGGGGCAAAGUCUCGCUGCUCCGGGAGCAUUAGCCUCCACUGCCCGCACUGCCCUUUAAGAGGAAAACCCAGCACCUGUGCUCCCAGCUGGAGACCGUCUCUCUGAGAGUGUGAGGCAACCUCGCUGGCCUGCCUGGAAGAGGAGGCUGUUGGGAGAAAGUGGGAGCACGGUCUCUGCCAAGAUCCCCGCCCGAGGAAAGGACGGUGAGCUGGUCUGCAGACCCGGCCUCCGUGCGGAGCCUGCUGGGAGCUGACCGGAGAUGCCUUUGGUAGAUCGUGAGCUCCCCAUCCUGGGAGGGUGUGAACAGGGCUGGCCGAUGCUGUGAGAGUGAUGCCGUGAACGCACCUCAGAUGGCAGAAGCAGCAUGGGACUCGCCGUUUCCAGGUUCAUUUUGGAUUCUACGCCUUGAAACUUACAGACACAUGAUCUUCCUUUGGACGACUCAUGUAUUUCACUGAAAGAGUGAGUUUCCUUUUAAAAAGGCCAAUCCGUAUCUUUAUCGUAGAGCACGGACGCAGAUAAGAGAACACGGAAAG
rnacentral:lncRNA from 1 species